UUUCAGUAGGUGAACCUGCGGAAGGAUCAUUAUUGUAUAACCGAGGUGCGAGGGCUGUCGCUGACCCGACAGGUCAUGCACGCCCGAGUGCCCUCACACACAUCCAUCUCACCCCUAUUUGCACCACCGCGUGGGUCCCCCUUUGGCUUGUUCGGAGGGGGGCUUACGUUUUCACACAAACUUUGUAUGCAGUGUAGAAUGUAUUUUUUGUUUUUGCGAUCACGCAAUCAAUACAACUUUCAACAACGGAUCUCUUGGCUCUC
rnacentral:misc_RNA from 1 species